AUUGAACGCUGGCGGCAUGCUUUACACAUGCAAGUCGAACGGUAACAGGCCGCAAGGUGCUGACGAGUGGCGAACGGGUGAGUAAUGCAUCGGAACGUGCCCAGUCGUGGGGGAUAACUACUCGAAAGAGUGGCUAAUACCGCAUGAGAUCUACGGAUGAAAGCAGGGGAUCGCAAGACCUUGUGCUACUAGAGCGGCCGAUGGCAGAUUAGGUAGUUGGUGGGAUAAAAGCUUACCAAGCCGACGAUCUGUAGCUGGUCUGAGAGGACGAUCAGCCACACUGGGACUGAGACACGGCCCAGACUCCUACGGGAGGCAGCAGUGGGGAAUUUUGGACAAUGGGCGCAAGCCUGAUCCAGCAAUGCCGCGUGCAGGAUGAAGGCCUUCGGGUUGUAAACUGCUUUUGUACGGAACGAAAAGCCCUGGGUUAAUACCCUGGGGUCAUGACGGUACCGUAAGAAUAAGCACCGGCUAACUACGUGCCAGCCGCCGCCGUAACAC
rnacentral:rRNA from 1 species